rnacentral:lncRNA from 1 species
CAGAGUUAAAUAUCUACUGCGUGUUUAUUGUUAUUGAAUACCUUUAAACUUUUAAAAUGUAAACUUUAUAUGGUUUAGUACACACAAAACAUUUAGUGACGGACUUUAUAAUUACUUCCUUGUUCACUUCACAGAAAUGAAAGAAAGAAAAUGUUGGGAAUAGUUUUCCUACUGUGUCUGAAAUUCUACAUUUCUACUGCAGGUAGGUACUUUAUUAUAUCUGUAGAAUGCAAAGAAAAUGAAGAUUAUGAUUUUUUUAAUAGAUGUAAGAAGAUGUGGUGUGGGUGCCAAUGAGACAACUCUCCAUCCGAGUCACAAUUGAUAAAAGUAAACCAUUAAAGGUCAAGG